GAGAGAGAACUCUAGAAGCUGCCUGAUGGCAGCAGGGGAGAGGAAGAAAAGAAGAGAUGCGGAAAUCAAACGCACAUCAGCAGCAAAGAGGAUUUUCCUUUUCCUCUCCUCCUUCAAAUCUUAUUUUCCUCUUUAAAUUCACUCUGGAACUCCAAAUUUUGUGCAGUUUUGCCCACGAACUCAGACUAUCUCAGCGAGACAAUCUCUACUCUCGAAGGGUGAUAGUCUUUCAGAGAGUGGAUUAGACAGAGAUGGCAAAUCAAGGUACUAAUAAGCGCAAGGAAGAGAAUGCCCGCCACAUGGCCAAUCUCCGUCGCCUCAUCAUGGCCUGUAAUGUUAUUUAUGUGCUAAUGGUGGCUUUGAUAUGACUACUGGUGGAGUAUGCGGCUAUUUGCAUGAUCUCAUCUACAUCACCUGCUCCGUGCAAGUCAUGUCCAUAAUCUCUGGAAAAUUUGGUACACAUAUCUGCUGGUGAGAUCUAUCUAAUUAACCAUUUUUCUUGUUGCCACCCAUUUAUAUAUAUAUAUAUAUAUAUAUAUAUAUAUUACCUGCUUAGAACCUUGCGUGGAUGUUUCCAAUGAGGUGGAGACUCAUCACCAUUAUCAUGUGUUUAUUUACCAGGAAUGAGAAUGUAAGAUUUGGGGAUUAUUCUCAUUCCUGACAUAUCUGCAUUUACUAACACUCAAGGAAUGCAAAUGUUGGGUGUUAGCUUAUGGUAAUUUGCUGCUUUGGUUCUCAAAAGCAAUAUGAUUUGUCAAGUUCUGUGAAUCUGCUAAACAAAAUUAAGUUUUGCCUAACAUAUUCUUUAAUCAAUAGAGAAGUCAAAGAAUACUGUCUCUCUUUUGAAUCUUUGUGAAUAAGGGUAGGAAUGGUAGUAUGGUAUUAAGGGUCUAGGAAUGCAUUUUUGUUAUGGAAUUUGUGAAGUUCAAUAACUCUGUCAAAUUUGGAUUUUGGGCCAAUAUUACGGUUUUCUUAAUUGAUUGUGCUUAAGUUGAUGCAUCAUGCUGGAUAUAUAAUAUGUUCGGAAAUUAAUCUUUAGUCUUAGGAAGUGUAUGUUAUGAUUAGAAUGGUGAUAGCGUCUGUCCACAAGACUAUGAAUGAGUGUGUCAUGUCUUCUCUGUAAAUUUGUUCGGACCUUAUGUCUUGAAACUUUGUUUGGAUGUUGCAUCUUAAUCAAAAUAAAUGAAACCUCUGAGAGGCACUACGGGAUACUAAGUGAAGUCUAGUGGGCCUACAUUGGUUAGAGAGUGACUUGAACAUACAUGAUAUGGUUAUUACCUUGAUUUCUUAUAUUGGUAUUAUCUAUGAAUAUGACUUGGUUUUAUAAUGUGACUUCUAUUGAAUGUGAUUUUAUAUAUUUAGCCAUAGACCUAUGUUUAUUAAACAUGAUUUGGCUUGUGUACUGAUGAUGAUUGUGAUAUGUGAAUUGACUUGCAUAUUUGAAAGGUGGUUGAUUUGCAUAGAUGGUAUGAUAUGAUAAAAUGUGAGUGACUUUAAUAUAUGUGAUAUAGGUGAUUAUCCUGUUUUCAUAACUAUUAUCCUGUGUGGAUAUGAGAUGGUUUUAUGAUUAUGUUUCCUAUAAAAUUAUUAAGUUUUAUAUUGAAGUUUCUGGUGUGGGAUUUGACAUGCAUAUUGGAAAUAUUGUUGUUGUAUGAUUGGCUUAGUGUGAUGAAAUGUGAGGGGUAGUAGUGGACCGUUAACCCAUUGUCAUGGGUUUGUCACUUCGAAACAUGUUUCACCCCUCGUUUCAUUAUUUCAUUUCUCGUUUCGUUGAACCUUUGUAACCUGAGUAACUUGAUCCAUGUUUUGUUUCAUUGAGUGGUUGUUAGGCAUUGUACUCCGUGAUUCCGUUGAGUGAUGAUCCGGAAUCGUAUCCUGGUUUGGAUUCCGUUUAGUGAUGGUCCGGAAUCCCUUCUACUCUGCGGUUCCGUUGAGUGAUGAUCCGGAAUCGUAUCCUGAUUUGGAUUCCGUUGAGUGAUGGUCCAUAAUCCCUUCUACUCUGCGGUUCCGUUGAAUAAUGGUCCGGAAUCUUAUCCUGGUUUGGAUUCCAUUGAGUGAAGGUCCGGAAUCCCCUUUGGUGUCUUGGUUUAGUUAAGUGGUCUGAAAUCCCAUUUUCCAGAGAUGUAGGCUUCGGCCGAACGGCGUCACUGUAGCCCCGCAUUUCAGUGCAUUGGAUGUGUUAUUGAUUGAUAUGGUUUGAAAUGAUGUUUGUUAUGAUUAUUGUAAUUAUGAUUAGAAUUGUUGGCUAUUGUGACUAGAGAAUAUUAUUGUGCUUCGUCGAAUGUUCUUGGGAUGUUGCAUGCCUGAAUUGUGGUUUGUGUGGAGACAUAAUGGUUUAUGUGAUGUGAUGAAAGUUCGAGUGUAUUGAAACGACGAACUACAAAUGGCUUGAUCCUUAUUUAGGGUACGUAGGCAGUCUAACGAGGAGGUUAGAUGCAGCCAUAAAGUAUACACAAAAUUAUUAUGCAUCUGGAUCUUGAAUUAUAUAUUGUUCAUAUCCUAAAGGCGGAGUAUGUUGAGUUACGGGCAUUUAGGGACGUCAUGCGUCGAUCUUGGACGUAUGUCGGGAUCGGGGCGUGACACUUGACCCCGUUGGGCCACCGUAGACGACGAAUCAACGCUGGGAAGCUUUAGGCACCCGCCGACUUUGUGGGAAAAAUUGAUCAUCUUCUGUCCACUUUUGGACUUCAUGGCAGGUAUGAAAGUUGUUCAUCUAUCUGAGAUCUUCAUUUCUGUAAAAUUUGAGAAUUUUUAGAAAUAGUGGAAUUUUCCUGCGAACCGUGGCGGCCAGCCACCACGCGAGGCGGUGCGUGGGCCGAGACCUCAUCUGACCACCUUAGGCUAAUUUUGAAGCCCUGAUUCCAUAUUUGUCAUCCGUUUAGUGAACUUAUGAUGUUUUCAUGUAGUUUCAUAGUUGACCACCUAGUUGGCCGUCAUGGGGUCCUUGCAUGAAUUGACGAUCCAACCGUUGGAUCGUCACCAAACCUUAGAACCUUAUAGUACGUAAUAUUUGAGGAUCAUAGGAAGUUACGGAUUGAGAAACCGUGUAUGGAUCUUCCCGAAUUGAAUUUGUUAGUUCACAAAAUAAAGUGUUGACCUCCACUUAAUUUUGGCAAUUGGCGAAGAUUCGACCAUUGGAUUAUUCUAAAACUUUAGAAUGUUGUUUUAGAAGCAUAAUUUGAAUCUUUGGAAGUUAUGGAUCAGAAAUCUAAGGUACGAAUCUUCCGGAUCGAGUUAUGUAGGGUUGUGGACCCUACCGUUGACCUUUGACCGACGAUUGACUUUUGGUCAAUGAGUUUCAAAUCAUUCUAGAACGACCUUGGGGAUGUGUUUUAUGUCAGUUGUGUGUUCUAUCAAUAAGAAUCCUGAGUUGUGAUUUGAUAUUUGUUCUAGGCAACGUUUGUUCGUGACGUUUUGAUAUUUGUGCUAGGGAGUUAUAACGCGGACUCCAGAUUUUGAAAAAAAUGGGAUCACUUCUUAUGGACUCGUUGAGAAUGAUUCUGAUCUAGUUCAUGGCCUAUUGAAGCAGAAGGCGCUCCGGUGGGAUCCUCACAGACAGAAAAAGAUUAUAGUCAGUUUGAUAAUGAUCGAGUGACAUUGCUUCUUCGGCCCGAACCAAGGAAUCCCUUAGAUAUGAUGCAAAAUGGAUCUUGUUUUUAUCGUUGAUCAGAGAUUUCUCUAUGAACAAUACGAAUCAGAGUUUGAAGAAGGGGAAGAAGUCCUCAACCCACAACGGAUAGAGGAAGAUUUAUUCAAUCACAUAGUUUGGGCUCCUAGAAUAUGUCGCAUUUGGGGCUUUCUAUUUGAUUGCAUUGAAAGGCCCUAUGAAUUGGGAUUUCCCUAUUGGGUCAAGUCAUUUCGGGGCAAGCGGAUCAUUUAUGAUGAAGAGGAUGGGCUUCAAAAGAAUAAUUCAGAGUUCUUGCAAAGUGGAACCAUGCAGUACUAGACACGAGAUAGAUCUUCCAAAGAGCAAGGCUUUUUUUCUAAUAAGCCAAUUCAUUUGGGACCCUGCGGAUCCACUCUUUUUUCCUAUUCAAAGAUCAGCCUGUGUUUUCACAUUGAGAAUUCUUUGCAGAUGAAGAGAUGUCAAAUGGGCUUUUUACUUCCCAAACGGAUCUUGCUACAUCUAUAUAUAAAUGCUAGUUUACCAAGAAUACACAAGAAAGGUACUUCGAAUUGUUAAUUCAUCGCUAUAGAUGGCUUCGAACCAAUAGUUCAUCAUGUAAUUGAUUUUUUUGUUCUAAUACUCCAUCUAAGAGUUAUCAGUA